ensembl:lncRNA SOX9-AS1 SOX9 antisense RNA 1
GGGGGAGAGUUUGCUAACUGCUCUGGCUUUGAGAGAUAGAAGUUUGCCAAUGCGGCUGUCCCGGGCCGCGAGGCCCAGGCCGGUCACUUGGUUUGUAAAAGACCAAACAAAUGGGCACCACCGCAGACAAAACGCUCCACUCUGGCGGAGUCAUGCUGCUUGCCUGCUUUUGCUGGCAUUUACGAAACACCUGAAGGGGUGAAGCGCCGGUGCUUCUGACUCUAGUCCGCCAAAAACAAUCCAUUGAUACACUUGGUGACAUUAAUUGAGAAAAAAACAAUAUGGUCUGGCCAUGGAGGCAUGGUAUCCGUAACAUCCCCCAAAGGAGCUAAAGAAGAAAUCCACAAUUUACCAUGAGCAUUUCUCGUCUGAAGAUUGCCAAGCGAUUCCUCCAGGACAUUCCUCAAGAUCAAUUUCUGUUCAUCCACCUUGUCCUGGGAGGGACAUCAAUGGGUUUCCAUGUCCUUUGGCUUCUGGUUGAGUUCACUCAGUGGAGAACCCUGGCAAGAGGCAGGAAAAGGGGAGGAAGGUGAAAACCAUCCAUUUCUUGGAGAAGUGCCACGGUGGGGUUGCAAGUCCCAGGAUCAAGUUUUCGAUGUGUCUCUUUUUCCCGUAAAGUGGCUGAAAUCUGAAGCUGAAUCUGCAAGUGUCAUGGAGUCAUUGAAUCUCACAGUCUCAACUGAUAAAAGUUAUUAAAGGUCGUCUGGUUCAGCCUUCUA